AGAUUCUUUAUUUUAAAAAUAUUUGAUUUAAUUUUUUUCUUUUAUAAUCCUAUAUAUUUUACUUUUAAUGCAUAUGGAAACAUUAUUCUUAUAAGAGGUCCAUAACCUUCACUGGACUGCCAAACAGUUCCAUGGCACAAGGAAAGGUUAAGAAAGUCGGCCACGUUCUCAUCAGUCGGGGUCUAAGCUGUAUUCCUCUUCUGGACUCACUGCAGUCACCGUAAGUAUGACUCACCCAUCAACGAGCUGCCAAAACCGGGGACUCAACAGAACGUGGUUGCCUGGAAACAAGCCCCGUUAGAUUGUUACCUUGUUUUUAAGGAAAGAAAGCUUCAGAUGCCUAUGGAAGGCGCCUACGGAAGCUUCCUCGCUCCCACAUAUCUCAAAGACCACCCCCGAGGAUGUCCAGCCCCUACCAGAGAUCAGAGGGCACUCUGCCCUCCUCUGCACUCAUGACUUGCAUCCCGUUCACUUCAUGGUCUGCUGCAGGAGCGGGUAGGGGACCAACAGACUUUGAAAUAAUCAUAAUAAUCCUCCUUGACCUCAAAUAUUUAUUAAGUACUUCCUGCAUAAAGGACCACGUGCUGGAUGCUAUUAUAUUACAAGGAACCUCAGUUUCCUCGUGCAACCAUAAUGAUAUCUCACAUUUUAUUGCUCUUAACAAAGUACUGUCUUACUUCACAUUUAAUUCUCACACUUUUGAGGAUGAUAUUAAAAUAUUCCCCAUCUUAUACAUGAAGAAACUGAGGCUCAGAGAAGCAAGGAAGUCUGCCCGGCCCGUGGCAGAGCCAGGCCUUGACAGCGAACCCUUGGCUCCCGACAGCCUGCAGUGUGGUCUGGGGGCUUGUGCUGUGCAUGGUGCGGGGACGGCCCCUCUGAACCACAGCUGGGGACCACUUUCUCUGAUGUCCCUUGUGACCAGUGACUGGGGAUGGGUGUGGUUUCUGGUUUCUGGCCUCAUCAGGGCCCUGGCUUCCCUAAUCAGAACCAUGAGAGUGGCCCAGGGGUUAGAAAUGAUGGUGACAAUCGCCAUCUGGUGUUGUGGAAAAAUUCACGGGGUGUUCUCCCCUGUGUUCCCGGGCAUGGCUCUCUUCAUAACCUCUGGGGGAGUAAAUCCUCAGUAUGAGAGCCCACGCUGUGGCGAAUAUCCCGUAUGACGCCCCACUUCCUUUUGCUCCUCAGUUCACCUCCUAACUGCAGUUUUCAUUCCCUGAAUCUUGAUUCCUAAAUGAUUAGAUUCUGUACAUGGAUUAUCUCCAUCAAUUCUGUGUUGAUGUUGCUGAAGUGGAAGACAGUGAAUUCAGCCCGGGUCACGUUGAGUUUAAGGAGGCUCCCCGAUGAUCCAUCCACCAGGAGACGGGUCCUGGCACGCUGCACGGAGAUGUGAACACAGUGCAUUCGUCGUAGAAAUCUAAGCUACCAACCCGAUACUUCGUUGUGAACAUCGUUCUGGCUGCAGUUUUUAAAUCUGGAUGUCAAGGAAAACGAAAUCCUAUUUUUGCAGACUUCUCAACAACUUCAUACCUGAAGAAGAGUACGUGUUAAUGAUUUCAUUUAGAGAUCCUGAGGAAUGUUCCCAUUACAAAGUGUUAAGUAUUCUACCAUGAAGUGAAAAUUUAAAAAUCUAUUUGUAUUACCUUCCAAAAAUAAAACAGUGCAACCUGCGAAAUUGUAGUGUUUCUGCCUCAGAGAUACCAGAGAUGCAAUCACCAGCCGUCUUUAACCAGACCGGAGCCCCAGAACAAGAGCAGCACCCACACAGAUGAGCUGAGAGAGGCCAAGUGAGCAGCGCAAGCCAACACCCACCUCGCCCUUUGAAUGUUCGUUCCCCACCUGAAGUCAAAGGACCCUACUUCCCCAUGUGCUGGGACAGCCACAACUUUGGAAAUCACUCCACCUGGGCUCCUGUUUGCUGCGAAUAAGCUGGACAUUGUGUGACAACUACUUGUGGUGGAGAACCUGAUUUUAACUCGCCGGGGGGACCCCACUUUGGUUUGGUAACAAUAACGAGACAACCUCUUCCAAAAUCCCAUCAAUUCUCCACACCUCCACAGGCGGGAAAGCCUUGAAAAUAUAUCUGGCCCUAACAUUUUAGUGGCCAUUAUCUAAACCAUUCUAAUGUCUGCUUCUUUUCAGAAAUAACAUUAACAACCCACCCAAAUGUUUUCUUUUGAGGCUGUGUUGGCUAUCAAGUGUUAAAUAGGGAAUUUGUUGACUGAAACAAAUGUUUUGGGUCUCCUUAAAACCGUUGCCAAAACAAAUGCAGCCCUUGGCCAACUCUCCUCCAACGAAGCUGUGAUUGGAACGGAGCCGCGACUGGAACGGAGCCGCGACUGGACGGAGCUGCUUAUCCGCGAUCCAGGGCGCAGGCCCAGUUUAGGUGAAUCACCUGGGUUUUCUGCCGGGUGGCUUCAGGGGUUUCUGACCCUCCACUGGACACUGGCAGUGAGACUUUGGUGCCAAGGGCCAGGAGAAGGCACCUAGGGAGCUGUGUGGCUUGUCAUUACUGUCCAGUUUGCUGCUUCAUAACCACGGUUCUCUCUGAGAGCCUCACAGCUGUCCUUUGAAGAGGGCAAACUUGGUUGUCCCCAUCUUAAUGGUUCUUUCACAUUUUUUUUCCAGAUGUGGAAACUGAGACACUAAGAGGACACUAAGAGAAAGUAACAUGACUUUGCGUCAUCAUUUGAUUUUGUGAUUUAGAAACUCCAAGUAGAGUGAGAGGUCAUUCCCUGGGUCUCUAGAGGCUGGCUUGGCCUCCACGGCCUGUGGCCCUUCUGCGGUAAAAUGUAGGGGCACAGCCCCCUUCUCUGAGAUCUUACCUCUUUGGAUUUCCUGUGUGCUGGAGACUAUGCCAAAUUGGGGGAAAUCUACGUCUAUUACUAGGGCAAAUCUCACUUGUUCCUGAGAUGGCUCAGAGAGUUGAGGUAGGUGGUUUUAACCUUCUGGAAAAGUGUGUCUAUUUUCCCCAUCACACUGCACUAGAAGCCACAGUCACAAACUCUCUUUAUGCUAGCCUCUCCACAUUUUUUCCUUGAAACUUUCCAAACAUGCAUAACAAUAGGGAAUACAGCAUAACAAUGUGGACUAUGACAGUCCCAUGUACCCAUCCCCCACUCUUUUUUUCCUGGAUAUUUUAUAGUAAAUUUGAGGCAUCAUGAUGUUUAACACUUAAAUUCUUCAUAAGCACCUCAAAAAUUUCUUAUUGGAAAGUUAUAAUGCCACUAUCACACCUAAUAAAAUUAACAAGAAUUCCUUAGUGUCAUCUAAGUCCAUAUUCAGAUUUCCCCUUGUAUAGUUAAUUUAUUUAAAUCAAUGACCUUAUAAGUUCCACUCAUUGUAUUUGGUUGUUUGACCUCAAAGUUUUGAGUGGAGAACUCAGGGCAGAGGGUUAAGCAGCGUGGCUGUGUCAGUGUCCCAGACCCCUCCCCUCUGAACUUCACUUUUCCUUUGGAAAUUCUCUUGGGAUUCCCUUUGCCAUUACCUUAUGGGGACAUCAGUUAUACAGAGUUCCCAUUUAAAACUCUGUCGUAGUGACUAUACAAAAAAAUCCCCCCUUUCUAUAUCUUCCUUAUCACAAAUAAAGUAGGAUGGCAUCAUCAAAAAGAACAUUACAAAGACAGCAAAAGAAAAAUUGAAAUUAAUCAGCCACAGAAAGAACUCAGAGACUAUACAAAGUUAGGUUUACAAACUGUAGAUCACCGAUCCCGCAAUAGCGAACGUGAUUAACAAGCAAACAGAGCUGGUUUCUUUGCACACCCUGGGUUAAGAUACUAUAUUCUCUUCCCGGCCCCAUGUGGCUUGUCAAGAUAGCCCCCUCUCCAUGGGGCCGGGCCUUCCUAUUUCCAGCACAAGACAACAUCUAAUUGUGUAUCUUGUCCUUCCCCAAGAACAAUAUAAAAGAUUCUUCUGUCAUAAAAAUCCCCUAUCUUUGCCUGGUUCACGCCGUCCAGCCCCCCGCCUGCUAGCUCUCCAUGAUAGUUCCUGGUUUUCCAUCUGGGAGAGAAAAUCAAAUUCCCAAUCAAUUCACAAGGUAGGGAUUAUAACCACGAGCCUUUCCCACCUUAGCCUGUUGGCUCUCAGCUGUAGAGCCUUCAAUGGCAAUUUACCCUUCAGUGUCCUCACCUGUGGAAUGGGACACUGUUUCUAUCUACCUCAUAGGCUUGUUGUGGGACUGAGAUGAGAUCAUGCAUAUAAUGCCCUUAUAUUACUGUGUGGCAUAAAAUGGCAAGAGUCAAUGAAUGACAGUGAUGAUGAUGGUGAUGAUACUGAUUCCAGAGUAUUCCUCCUCCUUCCUCACUCCCCACGUCUGAUCUCAUAGGGAAGUCAUCCUGCAAAGGUCUACAAGAUAACAAUAUACUUAACAUAAGGAGGUGAAAAAGUUUCCUCUUGGGUGGAAAUAUGUAUGUGUAGGAAAAUACCAAGCUGAAAGGUAGGUAAGAUCCUAAAGUCAGUUGUGUAUAGGUGGCAAGCUAUCAGUGGAAGGGGGAGAACUCCUUUGCCACAGAGAAGGGGGAGGAAUGUCUGGUUUUUUCCCUUCUUAAGAGGUGGGGGAAGAAGAAGACAGAGGGGAAAGAAAAGAGUGGCAGGAUUGAAAAGGGCCAGGAAGACUGAGAGUGGUCAGGGAAGGACACAGAGGUGGGCACGCUGAGAACCGUGACUCUCAUUGUCCUCGGGGAAGUCAUUUGUGUUCUGUGUGCCCCUUAUCCAGUUCCCUCUCCAAAAUUUCCAAGAAAGUCUAUGAAUUUCAGAACAUUUCCUGUUUCACGUGGGAGGCGGCUUUGUGAAAGUCAGAGGAGCAUAUAUAGAGAGAGGGAUUAGGAGACAAAGGAUUUGCAGAAAUCUUGGGGAGAAUGCUCUGGAUUUCCACACGCCAUGGUUUUGGGGGUUUCGGGAAGCCCUGUCUGACAUCAAGGUCACGCUAACAGUUCAGGAGCCUUCACAUAGCGAUGAUAAAAUCUACUAUGUGGGUAGAUCCCACAGUAAAGGGGACAGUCUGGUCCCCUCAUGGUCACUGUAAUAGCAUUUACACAUUUGAGUGUGUAAUUAUCCAAUGUCCUGGGAUACAGAAUUUACUUUCCUUAUAAGGGAACCAGGCCUUUCCUAAGAUGCAUUUAUUUCAUCAAAAUUUUAGCUCAAACUAGCUGGAGAAAACAUUUGGUUCUUAUAAUAAAGAGCGAUUUUGAAACGAUCACCCUGUAAAGUCUAUAUACUAGAAUGAGGGCACUAUCCAUUAGGAGAAGAGGCAAAAUCUAUUCUAUUUCAUUCAAAUUCCACACCCCACUUCUGGCCCGGUGCUCUGGGUAACGGCAGGUGUCAUCCUGAGUGAUCUCACUCUCCCAUAUCAUGUCUCUGCUUACAAACGUGUCACCUUUCACAUAGAGGGAUAAUGUCACUGACUCAGCCUUGCUGGGACUGACCACUGGCUUCAUCUUCUAAUCCUAGGGCUUGACUGGCGCUGCUCCACCUGCACCUGGCUGCACGGUCAGCAGGCACCUGUGUUGCCCGCAGCCACAAAGGGCAAGGAAAGACAGGCCCAGAGUUCCCUAGGAUGGAGCGGCUGUGGAUGGUGGCAUGCAUCUGGAAACUCCACUCUAAACCAGGCCUAGGCUCUGCCUGAGGCUGCCCAGAACUUUCCUGGUGGCCUGAGAGCAGCUGCAGAUGGACAGGCCCGGCAGGAGUUGCACAGAGAACAUCCCUACAGUGAAUCUUUGCCCAGAGGAGCCUGAGCACAGGAUGCCAGGGCAGCGCCUUGUGGGGUCUUGAGAUGGGGGAACCGCGAGCAAGAGCGGGACGCGAGGCAAAGUAAAAGGCGUAGCAGAGCCCGCCGCCAGGGACGUCAUUCGCUGGGUGGCCAUCAUGAAGUAUCAGACUGCCGGGCUGAAACACGCGUGUUUCCUCCGUCUGGAGGCUCGGAGUGCGAGACCCAGGCGGCGCAGGUUUGGUUUCUCCGAGGCCCGUCUCCUGGGUUGCAGAUGGCCGCCUGCUCCGCGUGUCCUCACGUGGUCUUCCCUCUGUGUCUGUCUGUCCCCACCUUCUUAUAAGGACACGUCGGAUUAGGGCCCACCCUCAUGACCUCAUUUUAACCUACUUACCUCUCUGGGCCCUACCUUCAGAUAGAGUCACACUCUGAGGUUCUAGGGGUUAGGACUCAACAUGCGAGUCUGGCGGGGACACGGCUCACCCCAGAACCACCAGCGAGAGUCAGGAAGCCUGUGAGCUGGUGGCACGCGGGGGACCCGCACCUGCCCACGCAGGCCCGGCGGCCGGCUGGAGACCCCCGCGGGCCAGCGUGACCCUCCGGAGCUCCGGGCGCGGGCUCGUGGGGAGCCGCGGGGCCGCCUCCUCUCUUCGUGGGGCUGCUGCACACGGUCUCUCAGCGCCUCGGGCCCGUCCCCGAACCUGCGAGCCUGCGGGGGCGGCCCUCCCCGUGGGAGCGGGGGC